UGUCCUAUAUUUGCGUUCUGGAUGAUUGGGAAAUAAAUAGGAAAGAACUAACUAUUACGGACAGCAAACUAGGUGGAUUGUGCUUUGGCGUGGUGAAGAAGGGGAUAUAUCAUAACAAAGACCAAGAUAUAUAUAUUGAUGUAAAGAUGCUAAAAGGGGUGUUAUUUGAGAGGUAUUGGUUUGUUUGAUCACUGAAAUCUAGUUUUGAACACUCAGGUACAUUGUCUAAAGAAAAUUUGUGGUCAUUGGAAAACAUUGAUAACUAGCUUAUGUGUAAAGUCUUAAUGUAAUCUAGCUGUUGCAAAACCAUUACAUUUUACCUUCUUCA